UACGAAGGGGGCUAGCGUUGCUCGGAAUUACUGGGCGUAAAGGGCGCGUAGGCGGGUCGUUAAGUUGGGGGUGAAAGCCCAGGGCUCAACCCUGGAAUUGCCUUCAAUACUGGCGACCUUGAGUAUGGCAGAGGUGUGUGGAACUCCGAGUGUAGAGGUGAAAUUCGUAGAUAUUAGGAAGAACACCAGUGGCGAAGGCGGCUCACUGGUCCGGUACUGACGCUGAGACGCGAAAGCGUGGGGAGCGAACAGG
rnacentral:rRNA from 1 species